GCGACAGUGGGGAAUUUUGGACAAUGGGGGCAACCCUGUAUCCAGCAAUGCCGCGUGCAGGCAGCAGGCCUUCGGGUUGUCAACUGCUUUUGUCCGGCCCGCCAAGGCUCUGGUUCAUCCCUGGGGCACCUGUCCGGUACCGUAAGCAUCAGCACCGGCUCACUCCGUGCCAGCAGCCGCGGUAAUC
rnacentral:rRNA from 1 species